rnacentral:rRNA from 1 species
UACGUAGGGGGCGAGCGUUGUCCGGAUUCAUUGGGCGUAAAGAGCUCGUAGGCGGUUUGGCAAGUCGGGUGUGAAAACUCCAGGCUCAACCUGGAGAUGCCAUCUGAUACUGCCAUGACUUGAGUCUGGUAGGGGAGCACGGAAUUCCGGGUGUAGUGGUGAAAUGCGUAGAGAUCCGGAGGAACCCCAGAGGCGAAGGCGGCGCUCUGGCUCGCAACUGACGCUCAGACACGACAGCAUGGGGAGCGAACGGG